rnacentral:lncRNA from 1 species
CAGCGAACGGGGGUCAAGGUGGCAGCGCCCCUGUCGCAUCUCGAAAAAUACGAUUCCUCGCGAUGGUCGCGGAAAAAUUUAAUGUUCGAACAGAGUCGCCACCGAACUUUAUUUAUCCCAAUGAAGGGAUAGGGAAAUAUCGAUAAAACCUUUAGGAACGAAUGUCCAAGUUCCUCUGAUUGUUCCUUAUUGUUGGAAUUUCCCUGACGCCAAGUACUGUCUUGCAAUUAAAAUUGUUUGUUCAGAAAUGGUAAUCCAAGUUUUGAAAAGAAUUUAUUUGAAUGAUGUGAUAAUGUGUGAUGAGUGGACCAUGAGUCCAAAUGUAAUGCUGAUUUAGCAAUUUAAAGUGUGAAAGACACAGUGAGAGUAAUGACAUCGAUGUUGAAGAUUAGCAAAUCUUUAGGAGUCAGUUUACGCAACUUUGCUGUAAUAUGCUUUCGGAAAUAACCCUACCUCAAUUAGGUCUUUUGAGGGUUGUAACGAGGUUUGGUUCAGGGUUAUUGAAACAAAAGGAUAUAAGGCUUGAAGUUUAUUUAACCCACCCUUUCUUCACGAUGAUCUCCAAUCCUACGUUCAAUUAAUUCGACACACACUUACUCUUACGAGAUUUCAGCAAUGUAAGAUCUUUUUGAAAUGACAGUCACUUAUUUCGAUCUUUAUGGAUGUUGGUGAUCUUUUGAUUUGGAUAUGGUGGUCACUGAAUCUCGUUUUGUUUUGUUGAGGGUUUUCAUGACCUCCUUUGAUUUUUUGCUUUGAUCCCUAACUUUUGCAUGGACCGUUUUUUGAAGCUUUAGUCCAUCGGGAUUGCCCCUAUUUUUUGCCUAAGUCGUAUCUUUUGGGGUAUCGACUUAGCGGGCUUUUCUUUGAUUCUUUUUUUGAAAAUUUGUGACUGCCAAGUCAAUGGUCAUUCGGAGAACAACCAACAUAACUUUUGGAUUUUGCAAGGUUCCUUCGACACUUCAGGAUGUGUGCGAAUAUCAUGUGGUUGAUCCUCAGACAGGAUAUUUCGUCUUGUAAUCCGAAUGUGUAGUUAGAUUAACUGAACACUACCCUGCCCCAGGUUUAAUGUAAGGUUUUUUUUAGAUCCGAAAGAGACUCCUACUUCUAGGCUCGAAGUGGUUGACUAGGGAUUAACUCCUUAUCUCUCCAGUGUUUGGGAAUUUGAAACAAUGCCUGUACAUCAUCAGUAGGAUUUUAUCCGAAAGCAUACAGUCAGCAAUUAUGGGUAUUUUAUUUUCGUUAUCCUCCCUCAAAUCUUUGCUAAAACAAAAGUUAUGAUAAAGAAAAGUGAAUGGGAGAAACACUAAUGUAUUUUUUUGUUUUUGAUAUAAGAGAAGAAAAAAAUGAACGAAUGCGAGAUAAUUAGUUCAAAACACGCAUCAUUACUUCAUCAAUAUUACCAUUAAAAACAACAAUGUUUAAACACAAGCAGCUUUUAACAACAAAGAAACUACAAAUGCAAAAAUAGAAACAAAUCAGUCCAACGAUUGCCAGUGUUGAGGAUGUCUUCCUUUUUUGAUGAAACUAUCGUAGCUUCCACAAGUUGGUCUAGCUGAUUUUUCAUCGAGUCCACAUCUCCUCCCAAUGCAAUAUGACUUUGCUCCAACGGAUCCAUGAUCUUUCAAGAGCUACUUCAAGUCUGAUAUGAGUAUCGGGAAAUCAACUGCAGGUUAUGGACGAAGGGUGGAUGAGUUUUUUUGUAUAUAUUUUGUAUGAAAGGUGAUAUGAAAUGCAUGAUGAUUGCAGAUGCAAUGAUAUGUGUAUGACUUGUAGUGACACAUUCAGGAUCACAGGUUCAAAGUAUUUUCAUAUGGAUCAGAAUAACGGGUAAAUGACAGGUAUCUCUGAUUAAUAGAACCCCAUGGGUAGGCUCUACAGUUGGUAGGUUCCCAGAGUCAUGGAUAUUUCUUGAGGACGUCACUGCCGUGACGAAGACUCGUCGAGCAAUAGUAUCCUUAAGAAGAUCUCGUCUAGGUGAGGUCUUUGUAUUAUCCCAACAAGGAAAACUCCAUGAGGAUUCUACUACAUGACUCUCGACAGGUCCCAAGAUUGUUCCAAGAGUCUCAGUAUCAUCGAGGUUGGAAAUAUUACUGUAAGAUAGUAAUACGUCCAAGGGAUCUCAUCUGAUUGGGGCUUUCGUAUUAACCCAACAAGUCUGAAACUUGUAGGUUAAUACUACAUAACCAUCGGAUAUAAUGGGUUAAAAGGUCCCUAGAGUCAUUGAUCCAUCUUGAGAAUACUAUCGUCGUGACGAAGACUCGUCAGGCAAUAAUAUCUCAAGAGAAUCUCCUCUAGGCGGGGUCUUCGUUUCUUCCCAACAAGGAAGACUCCUUGUGGGCGCCCACUACACAACCACCAACUUAAUCUUAUGGUUUUUCUCAGACUCGGGUAGAGAGCCUAUCUCACAAAGUAUCACCACCUAGAGAACCCCAAAUAAGACAUAGUCAAUAAAUCACAAUAUAAUAAUUAUGACAGAAUAAUAAUAGCAGAAUAAAAGAUAACAGAUAAACAAACAAGAUUAACACACAAUAUAGAAACUGAACUAAAUUAGGCUUCACUCUCUUUUGCUUGGAGCUAGUCCCCAGCAGAGUCGCCAUCUGUCGCAUCUCGAAAAAUACGAUUCCUCGCGAUGGUCGCGGAAAAAUUUAAUGUUCGAACAGAGUCGCCACCGAACUUUAUUUAUCCCAAUGAAGGGAUAGGGAAAUAUCGAUAAAACCUUUAGGAAAUGGAAUAAUGGUCGUCACAACCAUAUUCGGGUUCGGGAGUGGAUUACGUAAGGGGAAGGUAUUAGCACCCCUUACGUCCGUUGUACUCAACGGGAACCUUUUAAUUCUAAUUUGCAUUUCGUGUGUUAAUUUAUGUUUGUUUGUUAUCGUUGGGUUAUNUUACAUCCUAAUAAUUUUACUCAAUACUUUUCAAGGUGAAAAGACACUACAACGAGUCCUAAGUAGCCAACAUCCCACAUUGAAAGAUCUCAUAAAAUAUUCUCAUAAAAUACUUUUUCAGUCAAAAGGAAAACAACAUAAUGCAAUUGGCCCCAACUAUAACAUGUGAGUUUACUUAUUAGAAUAUUCAUGGCUAACUUCAGCAUAUUUUAUUACAAUUAAAAUUCCUUAUGUUCAUUUCUAGUUUUCAUUAACACUUACAAAAGUAACCACCUUAUUUUCAUUGCACUCCCUAUUUCAAAUACGUGUGUUUGUAUAUGAAACAAUGAAAACCUUUUAAUUAUUUUUGAAAACAAUGAAGUAAUAAUUUUGUAGAAACUUGUAAUUAUUAGUAAACACAAGAAACAUUAUCUCAAACCAAACAAGUCCUAAAUAACUUAAAUCAAUAACAUUUUCUCAUGCCAUGACUAAUAUUAAACUCAAAGGAGGUUUCUAGCUGAAAAAGUGAGUGUACUAUUUUCUUAGUAUGAAAAAUGACGGCAUAUGAAGAUUCAUAACAAAACUGUCAAACGUAAAGUCUAAGCAUGCCAAUAUAUAAGCAUGUUAUAAAUUUAAGAUGGUGUUAACACAAGAGAGUGAUUGUAAUUUACAUGCAAGUCAAACUAAUAUCAACACAAAAUAUAUUCUCAACAUUGCAUAAGUGUCACACCAUCAAAAAUCCAGCGCAAACAUGGAAUAAUCAGACCACAAUAGAUAACCGAAAUACGCACAUCAAUACAAAAACACUAACCCAAUCUGAAUUGACCCAAAUAAAUAUCACCACCUUAGCUCAACAGAAGCCCCUAGCAAGAUUAAUAUGAAACUGAGCAAAACCGAAACCUGUACAUUCGAGAAUCAUAACAUGUUGAAAACAACAGCAACACACUUAAACCAGUGACAUACAUAUCAAACACUAAAAGAAUGAAACGGAAAAUGCCGACAUGAUACGCACAAACAGCAAAUGAAAAAUAAAUUAGAACAUGGUAAACAGAGAUAAUCAAAUUGAAAAAAAACCACUUGAACCUCGAUGGAUGACGUUGAUCUUGCUACAUAUCCAGUUGUUUUCCGUAUUGAGCUCGAGACAUUGAGUAUCGUUACACACAAUAAUGACGAUGAAGACGGAGUAACUUACCGUUGAAGAGAGGUUGACAGCGUGAGAUGCAGAUUCAAUACCGUUAAUGGUGCGGUUGAGUUCGGAAACAGAAACAAUGUUGUCGUUGGUUCGUGUUGCUGAAACGGAAUGUCAACACGGCGUCGUUGUUAGUUGGAUGGAGUUCUGUCCAAAAAUAACAAGGUUAAUGCGCGGUAGCUCUUCGAAUCGGACCGAGUUUCGUGGUUGGGAUUUGAAGAGAAAGUCGUUCACGAUGUAGAUCGGCAGACCAAUAGAGAAGUGGUUUCGGUUGUUUGUUUGGUGGCGGAAGAGGGUUCAAAGGGGAUUUUGGCGAUUGAGAAUGAGAAAGGGAUAAUCGUGUUGGUGAGCUUGGUUUUUCAUCGGUGAAGACGAUAAAGGUGGUGGUGAGCGGUGAAGCAGAAGGUUUGUGUGGGUUUCCGGCGACUGGAAGAAGGUCGUCGCCAGCGUCGCUGAAUAUUCAGAGUGAUGGGUUAUUUUAUGAUGGUGAAGGCAAGACGGCGAGUUGAAGCAAACUAAGGGAGUGAAGCGAAUAUUGUGGUGCGGUUGUGUGCCGGCGGAAGGAGAAAGAAGAAGACAUUCAGAAAGAAACCUUUUCUUGUGUCUGUUGGGUUUUUUUUAGCCAAUGAGAGAGAAGAGUAUCCUUUUCUUUUCUUUUCGUUGAGAGUCUCUCAGUGAGGUACUGAAUAGUGAGUGGGUUAUAUGAAUGAGGUGAGACUGAGAAAGAGUUAAAGUGAGUGAGGUGAUAGGUGGCGUGUGUUGAGAGAGAUGGAGGUAGCGUGAAGGUAAGAGAUACGCAAGCUGGAUACCAG